rnacentral:lncRNA from 1 species
UUUGGAAAAAAAAGUGCAAUUUAUUACAAGAAAGUAACAUUCCUCAUCAAUCAAAUAUAUAAGCAUAAUGUGGAAAUUAACCAAAUGUCUAAAAACUCCUAAAUUUUUUUUGCAGAUUCAUAUAUAAAACAAUGUCUAUGGCAAAAAGUUUAAACAAUUGUGAUGUUCAAGCUUUUAUAAGCUCCAAGUGUAAAACUUCUUGACCUGGGAAAACAACUAACAGAUAUUGUUAGGAUUUAAUAAAUGGUUUUACCCAUUCAUGACAAGUAUACCCAAAAUGAACUGUACACACUUCUUUUCCCAGCCCGUACUCAUUAGAAAAUUUUUUCAAAGCACUAUCCAAAAGUACAUACCUUUUGAUGUGAUGAAAGUGAAAUUACUCAUUCAUAAAGAGAAAUCUAGGUUAGAGAAGCAAAAAUGAAGUUGUAAUUGCAUAUUCAGUAAAAAAAACAGGCGGAAAGAGUAGCUAAUUAAAUUUUGACAACCAAGGGUUUUGUGUAAUAAGAUAACAGCAGUGUGGUGCCGACAGUUUGGAAAGACAAUGGAGUUGCUAGGGUCCGAUGAAGGUAAGACAGCGAUAGCUGCUAUGAAAAUGAAACCCGAUUGUAGAAAAGAUUUUCAGAUCGAGGAAGAAGAAAGAGAAAAACAAGGCAAGAAAUGAC